rnacentral:rRNA from 1 species
AUACGGAGGAUGCAAGCGUUAUCCGGAUUUAUUGGGUUUAAAGGGUGCGUAGGCGGAUGAUUAAGCGUGAGGUGAAAUGCCACUGCUCAACAGUGGAACUGCCUCGCGAACUGGUUGUCUUGAAUGCUCCUGCCGUGGGAGGAAUGUGUGGUGUAGCGGUGAAAUGCAUAGAGAUCACACAGAACACCGAUUGCGAAGGCAUCUCACGAAGGGGUGAUUGACGCUGAGGCACGAAAGCGUGGGGAUCGAACAGGAUUAGAUCCCCUGGUAGUCCACGCCGUAAACGAUGGGCGCUCGUCGUCGGCGGCAGACAGUCGGCGGCCAAGCGAAAGCGAUAAGCGCCCCACCUGGGGAGUACGGUCGCAAGGCUGAAACUCAAAUGAAUUGACGGGG